GCCCUUGUAGCACAACGGAUAGCGCGCUGGUUUCCGGAACCAGAGGUUGCAGGUUCGAGUCCUGCCAAGGGCG
rnacentral:tRNA from 1 species